CCCUUAGAUGUCCUGGGCCGCACGCGCGCUACACUGAUGCAUUCAACGAGUUUUACCUUGGCCGAGAGGCCUGGGCAAUCUUUUAAACCUGCAUCGUGAUAGGGAUAGAUUAUUGCAAUUAUUAAUCUUGAACGAGGAAUUCCUAGUAAACGCAGAUCAUCAAUCUGCAUUGAUUACGUCCCUGCCCUUUGUACACACCGCCCGUCGCACCUACCGAUUGAAUGGUCCGGUGAAGCCUCGGGAUUGUGGCCAGUUCACUUUAUUGGGAGUUGGCUGCGAGAACUUGUCUAAACCUUAUCAUCUAGAGGAAGGUGAAGUCGUAACA
rnacentral:rRNA from 1 species